rnacentral:rRNA from 1 species
AUUGAACGCUGGCGGAAUGCUUUACACAUGCAAGUCGAACGGUAGAGGGGGCAACCCCUCGAGAGUGGCGAACGGGUGAGUAAUAUAUCGGAACGUGCCCAGACGUGGGGGAUAACGUAGCGAAAGUUACGCUAAUACCGCAUACGAUCUAAGGAUGAAAGCGGGGGAUCGCAAGACCUCGCGCGAUUGGAGCGGCCGAUAUCAGAUUAGGUAGUUGGUGGGGUAAAGGCUCACCAAGCCAACGAUCUGUAGCUGGUCUGAGAGGACGACCAGCCACACUGGAACUGAGACACGGUCCAGACUCCUAUGGGAGGCAGCAGUGGGGAAUUUUGGACAAUGGACGCAAGUCUGAUCCAGCCAUUCCGCGUGCAGGAUGAAGGCCCUCGGGUUGUAAACUGCUUUUGUACGGAACGAAAAGGUCUCUCUUAAUACGGGGGGCCCAUGACGGUACCGUAAGAAUAAGCACCGGCUAACUACGUGCCAGCCGCCGCCGGUA